rnacentral:tRNA from 2 species
GGGCCCGUUGCCUAGCCAGGAUAGGGCGCCGGCCUCCUAAGCCGGAGGCCCGGGGUUCGAAUCCCCGCGGGCCCG